UACGAAGGGGGCUAGCGUUGUUCGGAAUUACUGGGCGUAAAGCGCGCGCAGGCGGUUUUUCAAGUCAGUGGUGAAAGCCCGGAGCUCAACUCCGGAACUGCCAUUGAAACUGUAAAACUUGAGGAUGAGAGAGGUGAGUGGAAUUCCCAGUGUAGAGGUGAAAUUCGUAGAUAUUGGGAAGAACACCGGUGGCGAAGGCGGCUCACUGGCUCAUAUCUGACGCUCAGGCGCGACAGCGUGGGGAUCAAACAGG
rnacentral:rRNA from 1 species